UGUGGCCUUCCUGGAGAAGGUAGGCAGCAGUUCUGUGCUCCUGCAGUAAGAGAAUGGACUGCAGCAGAUCUUGCAGAUGGACUCCGUUGUGUAGGAGCAGGCUUUGACUACACCAUACAAUGGCUAAAAUCAAAUACAUUUUGGAAAGAAUUUGGUUGAAUUUGUCAAAGAUGGCUUCUGUUUCCCUUCCCUCCCCCAUUGCUCAUGUGGUUGAUUCCAGUUGCUCUUCCAGGACUGCCCUGUCUACUCACAGCUACAUCUACUUCAUGGCAGAGAGUGAUUCAGCUGCCUGAGUGAACUGAAUUCCUUCAGUCUUCCCUGUUAGUUUAACAUACAGUCUUAGAAAUCAGGUGCAUAAAUCACAUUUUGGAUACAAAUCAAAACAUGUGAUUAAUACCUAGACAUUUAUGGCCAUAUAAUGUCGCACCACGGUUAACAAGUAACAUUUGGCUAUGGGGUCUGUGCACCUGCUAAGCAGUAAUGUGCUACUAAUGUUUUAAUGAAGGAUCCCAGGGAAAAAAAAUGCCUCUCUAAGCUAGUGGUAAAGCUUGCGUUCCUGGAAUGCACAUAUGCGGAUAGGAGAGUUGACUGACUGGGAAUAUAGCCAUUUGUUUUCCCAAAUUACGAAUAAUAAUUAAUAAAUAAAAUGUUUUCUCAUGGCUGUAAGGAGGGAGUUGGGAGAAUCACUUGGCAAACGAACUGAUAUUUAAGCUAUGAUUUGCUGAGAAUAUUUGCACAUUACUCUAGAACAGUGGUCCCAGGAGGAACAGUACUGAGCAACUUGCAUUUUGCGGACAGGUUUGUUCUCUCUGUUGGCCUUGGUUUUAAGUUUUUAAUUUACUGUAUCCACAAGCAAUAUCAGAAAGUCUUGUGGGCAACACAUUGCAAGUGAAACAAAGAUUGGGAGCUAUGGCUUUCUGGUGAGGUACCAAGUUUAUUGAUAUUAUGACAUACUGCAUAGCUUUUGCAGACUGAAAGUGGGGGGAAAAAGCAGAGAUUAUGUACAGAGGCCCUUUCGCUGGGAAACUAGAAAACAAUCUGCCAUCUUGGUUUGGUGCAAUCUGGACUAAAAUAUGUUCCUUAGCAUUGUGAUGAUAAACUCCAGGGAUGCUACCUGGCACACAUGGUUUAGCACUGCUUCAGAAGCAAUGAUUCUCAAUGAGAAGUAGAGAUGGGCCAAUGUCUUCCUUCAUUUUUGCAGAGAAACUUCAAAAAAAAAAAAAUCUGCAAGAUCUUCCACGAGAAUGUCUCCAGGAAACACUUCUCUCAAAUAUUCGUUUUGGUGUCUCUGCUUCAUGGAGGCAUUCAUCUAACCUAUGAUGUGGUUGCUAACAGUGGUGAGUGGUAGAUCUUUGAGCAGAAGGUGCCUGGAACCCUGUGCUGCAAUUACCUCAUUUGGUACCAUCUUUGUGGAUGCAAGUGGUCUCUACCAGUCAAUUAAUGUAGAAGUUUGAUAUUAGGAGGGUGUUUUAGUCCUCACAAUGACGCAGAGAAGUGCAGUGAGAGAGAUGUAAAAGUUGCUUUCUGAGGAACUUGUAUAUUUAUGUUGUUAUUCUUGCUGCAUCUUUCUCGGGGCCAUACAGCCCUGAACUAGCAAUGGCAAAUAAGAGUUUUGAGAAGUUUUUUGUGACCUGAUCCCGGCUAAAAUAAAAAAAGAAAAUUUGGAAAGAUUUUAAAGUGAUAAUUACUGAGACUUGUCAAAAUUAACUUUUUCCCCUUCCCAGGCUAUUUUUGUUUUGAUUAAUCAUUUUACAAAA